AAGAGAGAAGAAGACUUUUAUAUAUUUAUCCUUCAAAAACUAAAGAGCAAAUGACUUAAUAGAAGACUAUAUAGAGGCUAGCUUAUUACAUAACAAAAAUGACCACAAUACCCUUAAUGAAAGGGAUGACCAUGAAGUGUCUUUCUAACAAAGUGUGAUCCCCAAAAUACCCUUAAUGAAGGGUUCUUCUUCAAUGCUCCACAACUGUAGGGUCAUUCUUUAACACUUGUAGUCUCGGGUUGGCAUCAAAGGUAAGCCCCCACGCAAUCUUCCACACACGGGUUUAUCUUAUAUUAUGCUCAAAAUGGGUCCUCCAUGCAUGUUCUUGUGUCCUCGAGGUGACCAAGUCUUGAGUCUUUAUGCUUUGACAUCCAAUGACAUCUUUAAAAGCAUAGAUGGCCAUUUGGCUUGUAUCAGAUCAGGAUUAGCAAUGCAUGUUGUUGCUGCAAAGCCAUUGUUCUUGACGAAAGAAGAUGUUUCCUCUGAUGUGCUACCCAAUGAACGCGAGAUUCUCAAAUCUCAGGAAGAGAGUUCUAGGAAGCCUCAGAUUGCCAUAGAAAAAAUGGUAGAAGGUCGUUUGCGCAAGUAUUUGAGGAAGUAGUUUUGAUGUGAGUGUCAAGGCUUGAAGCAUCGACUGAAAGUGAACCUUUGGCUAAUGCUGCUUGAGAUGAAUAACUGAAAUUACGAUCGUGAGAGAACUCCCUAAGACACUGUACUUUCUAGUUUUUGAUCUUCUGAUUAUAGUCUUCAUGAUGGCACUGCAGAACGGAGUCCAUAAGCUAGCUAACCCUGAGGAGGUUCUGUAUUACAUUUUUGAAUUUUCAUAGUCAAUAAUGUAAGAGAAUAAGGCCUUGAUUGAUCUAGCGUUUUGGUCUAGUGGUAAGACAGCAACACAUAAUGGUGGGUUAGGUUCAUGUCAUGGAUUCGAACCCUGCCUCUGACAAAAGCCUGAUAAUUAAAUUGAGAAGAGUAGAGAGGGACAGUAUCCACCGAGUUCCAAACUGCUGCCUCUAGCCAUUCUCUGUCAUCAAAAAGAAAGGAAAGAAAGGAAAAAUAAUGUAUUUAUUGCAUUAUUCUGUU